UACGUAGGGUGCGAGCGUUAAUCGGAAUUACUGGGCGUAAAGCGUGCGCAGGCGGUUUCGUAAGACAGACGUGAAAUCCCCGGGCUCAACCUGGGAACUGCGUUUGUGACUGCGAGGCUAGAGUACGGCAGAGGGGGGUAGAAUUCCACGUGUAGCAGUGAAAUGCGUAGAGAUGUGGAGGAAUACCGAUGGCGAAGGCAGCCCCCUGGGCCUGUACUGACGCUCAUGCACGAAAGCGUGGGGAGCAAACAGG
rnacentral:rRNA from 1 species